rnacentral:rRNA from 1 species
UACGUAGGGCGCAAGCGUUGUCCGGAUUUAUUGGGUUUAAAGGGUGCGCAGGCGGUCUGUUAAGUUAGUGGUGAAAGAGCCUUGCUCAACAAGGCAGACGCCAUUGAUACUGGCAGGCUUGAGUAUGGCCGAGGAGAUUAGAAUGCGUGGUGUAGCGGUGAAAUGCUUAGAUAUCACGCAGAAUACCGAUUGCGAAGGCAGAUUUCUGGGCCAAAACUGACGCUGAGGCACGAAAGCGUGGGGAGCGAACAGG